rnacentral:lncRNA from 1 species
CUCACGUUUCACAGAGAAAGAAACUGAGACCCAGAGGUGUGAAUGACUUUCUCAAGACUGUAAUGCUAACACAUUGUAACACCAGAAACUUAGGACACCAUGUCCAUGCUGUCUCAUUCAUUCUUCACUAGUUUAUUGAUUCAGCAAAUAUGAAUCACUGGCUGCAUGCAAGACACUCUGCUAGACAUCGGAGAUCCCGCUGUGAACAAGCGUCACAACGGCCCUGCUUCCAUGGAGCUUGGGUCGCAGCAGAUGAAGAACAAAAGUAAACAACUGAGUGCAGGUAAGUCCAUCUGUCCAUAAGGGCUGUAGGAAAUAAGUCCUCCGUGAUAUGAUGGUGAAGGGCAGGUGGGGAGAUGGCACCUCCGGCCGGGCACCAGGGAAAGGUACUUGGGACCGCGGUAUCUAGCCUGAGAUGUGAGUGACAAGAGUGAGUCAGCGGGGGCUCUGGGUCUGCAGCAAGCCUCCAGGGUGAGGAGCAGCAAGUGCAGACACCACUACAGCCCAGAAAGAAGCAUUGUCACCUGAUGCCUCAACACAAACUGCCCUGGAUGGUGCCAGCGGGAGAAAGUGCACGCAAGCAGCAGUGGGCUUUGCCUGUGGCCAAGAGUCUCCUCCUCA